GUCCUUUUGAUAAUAAUUUAAGGUCUAAUCUGCUCAAUGAAUAUUAAAUUGCCGCAGUAUUUUAACUGUGCAAAGGUAGCAUAAUAAUUAGUUUUUUAAAUGAAAUCUAGAAUGAAUGAUUGGACGAGAAAUUGACUGUCUCUUUAUAAUUUUUAUUGAAUUUAACUUUUAAGUAAAAAGGCUUAAUUAAAUUUAAAAGACGAGAAGACCCUAUAGAGUUUAAUUGUUUUUGUAAAUAAAAAUUUUUGGAAUUUUUGUUUUUUCAAAAAUAAUUUGAUUGGGGUGAUUGAAAGAUUAAUUUAACUCUUUUUAUUUUGAAUCAUUGAUUUGUGAUUAAUAAUUCUAUUUUUAUAAGUAAAAUUUAAAUUACCUUAGGGAUAACAGCGUAAUUUUAUUUUAUAGUUCAUAUUGAAAUUAAAGUUUGCGACCUCGAUGUUGGAUUAAAAUUUAUUUUGGGUGUAGAAGCUUGAAGUUUAAGUCUGUUCGACUUUUAAAA
rnacentral:rRNA from 1 species